UUACACAUCUAUGAAGAAAUGACUGUUGAAAAGCUGAAGCUGUACAUCAAGCAAGACUCCCUCAAGUUUGAAGCAGCCACCAGAACGCUUAUCUUUGCUGAGAAUAAUGUCUUUAUAAAAGAACAAAAAUUUCACCAUCAAUCUAUAUAUUCACAAAAAGACUUCAAGGUGAACCAAAUCCAAAACAUUUCUUCCUGGUAAAAUCAACAACUCUAACCUUGGGAUUGAUGAAACAAAGAUAGAAAGAAGUCCUCACCAGCACCGAUGAACAUCCAGGGUAUGGACAUAGAGAGGGUGACCUCCUACAAGUACCUUGGUGUUCUUCUGAACGACAAACUGGACUGGUCUACAAACACGGACACCCUGAUUAGGAAAGGACAGAGCCGACUCUUCCUACUCAGGAAACUGAGGUCUUUUGGGGUUCAGGGGUCACUCCUUGAGACGUUCUAUAACUCGGUGGUGGCCUCGGCCAUCCAUUAUGGCAUUGUCUGCUGGUCAGGCAGCAUCUCAGCCCGGGACAGAAAGAGACUGGAGCGACUGGUCAGAAAGGCCAGUUCUGUCCUGGGUUGCUCCCUUGACACUCUGGAGGAGGUGGGCAACAGAAGGAUGCUAACUAAGCUAAAAGCUAUGAUGGCCAGUCCCUCCCACCCCCUCCAGCCCGCCCUGACAGCACUUGGUAGCUCCUUCAGCCAGAGACUGUUACACCCGCGCUGCAAGAAGGAGAGAUACCGACGCUCGUUCCUACCGACUGCUGUCAGGCUGAUGAAUAAAAAAUAACAAUCAUAAUAAUAAUAAUAAUUAAAUGAUGUGAAGGAAAAUUGUAAAUAGUACUGUGAUUUAUCCAUUUUGUGUUCAUAUUGCAUUUAAUUGAAAGAUGUUUGUUGUUUUUUUCUCUUUCUUCUUUCUACAUACAUUCUUGCUGCUGGAGGCUGUAAAUUUCCCCAGUGUGGGACGAAUAAAGGAUAUCUUAUCUUUUAUCUUAUAAAGUUCUUGCUUUGUAUGACACAACUUCCUGGCCAGGUGUAUAAAUAAUUCCAGUCACAAAUGUGUGAUGCACAGGUGAUUUUCGCGAAGAAUUACAUUUCUCAACAUAAAGUGCGUUGGCCUAAUACGGUAUAUUUAUUCCCUGUGAAUAAAUGCUUUCCAUCCUUUCCCAUUGGUCAUCAAAUAUAUUGUAAUACAGUAUUUGUUUCCCGGUGGCCCGGUGUUCCAGUCGUGUGCGCGUCGACCUCACAGCGCAGACAUUCCGGGUUCUCCGGCCUCCCUGUGUGGAGUUUGCAUGUUCUCCCCGGGCCUGCAUGGGCUUUCUCCGGGUACUCCGGGUUCCUCCCACAUUCCAAAAACAUGCAUGGCAGCCUGAUUGAACACUCGAAAUUGUCCUUAGGUGUGAGUGUGAGCAUGGUUGGUUGUUCAUCUCUGUGUGGCUUGCGUUUGGUUGGCAACUAGUUCAAGGUGUUCCCCGCCUACUGCCCUAAGACAGCUGGGAUAGGGAUUUGUUUCCCUUCCUGGUGAGGUGUUGUGCUCACUUAACUUGGAAAACAAACACCUCCCUGUUGAAUAAGAUAAAGAGUUAAAAUUACAAUCAGGACAUCUAGCCCGAGGAUCAAACUGGCACCUUGUCUACAUAGUUUUUAGGCGUGCACUUAACCACUAUGCGAAACCUCUGUGUAGGAGACUGGACCAGUGUAGAAUUUUGUGUCUGUUAUGUUAAAAGAAUAAUUCACUUGUGUGUUCGCAAGCACCCUGAUCGAAUUUAUUUUGUGAUUUCCUUGCGAGAAUUUCUGUUUUGGUGAAUGUAAUUGACACUAUACUUGCCACAUGCGACUGUGAAUGCUGUCGAGAUGGAUUUGAAUUCUCUCUCUCUCUCUCAGUUGAUGGGUGUUCUACAUUUGAAGAAGUAGUGGACGUGAUACCAGCUCAAGCAGGGUCCCACCGAUGGCAACCAAUUGCGAUUCACAUUCACCUUUUCAA